GGAGGAUGAGGCAUUUCUCACAGAAAUCUGCUCAUUUUAUUUUCACCAGAAAUGUUUGCUUGCUUGUUUGUUUCCCAUCCACAGGAAAUAAAGAGAAAAAAACACAUUGCUUUUCCUGGAUUAAGCUUUGAUUUGAGAUAAGGCUUUACGAGACCUUGCUAUUUCCAUUUUUAAUCACCCCUGGUGAACUCAUUGGCUAUAAAUCUGAAACAAUCACGUAAACACCACCAGCCCAAGCCUGCAGACCCAAGCCAUCAUUAUUGCCCUCGCUCUGCUCCCUUGCAGGGGAAAGCACAGGAGCAGGAGGCUGGGCUCUCCCUGCCUGAGAAACAGCCGCAGCUUGAUGCUUAAUUGGGAAGGAACCCAAGCAGCUGCUCCACCCCAGGUGCUGCACCCCAGGGUGGGGUGAGGUUCCCCUGGGACCCCCGCCCGGUGCCUGCCAAGCCCAGUCCUGCCCUGGUCCUGCUGGCAGCAGCAGCAGACCUGGGACUUGGGUAUCCUCUGUGGGGCAAGUGGACACACGGAGCUGCCUUCAAAAGGAGUCACCACAAGGCCUCAGCCUGGCUCUCCUCCACCUGUGUCUCCACAAAGGUCAUGCCUGAGAAGAUCCAUGAGGCCAGCUCUCCACGUGGAAACUGUGAAUAGGACCAUGGCUGGAAGUAGUGUCCUCCCAGCUCCCCAACGGCUGUGGGGCAGGGGACCAGUGUGCUUCUAGCAGCGGUGGGGUUGUCUCCUUCAGAGCUUGUUGGGAAGGCUCGUGCCCACAUUGUGAGGGCCUGCUGACGUCUGUGCUCCCAUCCACUCAGCGCUGGGGUAGCUGUUUAUCCACCACCCUUCAUCAAUGAGGUUUAAGGGCAUACCUCAGAAAGGCAGCACAUGGUGCUUUCUGUAGCACUGAGAGUGAAGGGGAGAAACUUAAAGCCAAUGGGAAGGAUUUGCAUUAGCUCUGCUGCCAAGAAGUCUUUCCUAAACUCUCUCCUUCAAUAAUAUCUGGGUCAAAAUAAUACUGACUCUACUAAAUCUUCAGUUUUCUUGCUUUUUGUGUAUCAACACUAGGACAAAGCAAUUACAGCCCCCAGAGACACACAUGAGUGAAGUGAGUGAGGCAGAGAUAUUAGUGUUGCUGUUGUCCUUUCCUGCCCUGUCGCCUGCCUUUGUUAAUCUGCAUGUGCAAAUUAAACUGAAAUUAAACUCUUAAUUUAUCAUCUUGUUGUGGUGACAGCAGGCAGGACCAGAACGCUUUACAAACACGUAGCACCACAUUAACAUCAGAAACAGAUUCUUCCCCCGAGAGAGGGGAAGAUUUCAAAGAAUGUGGAAAGAUACCACAGGGCUGUAAUCCCUCUUGCUGUACAGAAAACAACCGAUUGUUGUUGAAACCCUUGGAGGGGGGAGGUGAGGGAUCUGCACAACACAUGUAGGCUACAGCUUUUCCACCGUCGAGAGUGGAGAUGGGAAAUUUGAAAUAAACAACCUUGGGGGGUGGAAGGAAAAAAAAAA
rnacentral:lncRNA from 1 species